UCUAUUGAGGAUUUGAUCCUGGUCCAGGAUGAACGCUGGCGGCGUGGAUAAGGCAUGCAAGUCGAACGGACUAUUUUUUGUAGCAAUACGGAAAAUAGUUAGUGGCGAACGAGUUAGUAAUACCCUGGCAUCUACCUCAAAGACGGGCAUAAUCCGCCGAAAGGCGGACUAAUUCCCGAUAGUCCCUAUACCUCUUUGGAUUUUUGGAUCUUUAUGUAGAAAAAGUUUAUGGGCGCCGCAAUGAAGCAAUGCCCAUAGAUUAUCACCAGAGAUGACGAAUCACCUUUGCUGAACCUGCGGCAACGACGAAAAUCGGAGCCAUGAUCAACAGUAUCGCGACGGUCACCGUAACUGCUAUGGCAGCCGCGAUCAUCUCCAUGACAUUUUUCAUUAAAGAUCACCCCCUUUCUGUUCCGGAUGCUACAAUAAUAGCAUAUCUAAUAAAUUUUGUCAAGAGUCCAAAGAGGUGUAGGGUAAAGGCCCUAAAAGCCGCUUUGAGAGGAGCCUAGGCCCUAUCAGCUUGUUGGCGGGGUAACGGCCCACCAAGGCAAUGACGGGUAGGGGGCGUGAGAGCGCGACCCCCAACGACGAAACUGCGACACGGUUCGUACAUCUACGGAUGGCAGCAGUCAAGAACAUUCGACAAUGGGCGAAAGCCUGAUCGAGCGACGCCGCGUGCAGGAAGAAGGGCUUCGGUCUGUAAACUGCUUUUCCGAGGGAGGAACGUAAGUGACUGUACCUCGGGAAUAAGGGGCUGCAAACUUCGUGCCAGCAGCCGCGGUAAUACGAAGGCCUCAAGCGUUAUCCGGAUUUAUUGGGCGUAAAGGGUCUCCAGGUGGUCGUGUUAGUCAUGUGUUAAAUUCCGCUGCCUAACGGCGGAGCUGCGCGUGAUACGGCACGACUUGAGGAAUGGAGAGGGAGUAGGAACUCACGGUGUAGGGGUGAAAUCCGUUGAUAUCGUGGGGAACACCAAAGGCGAAGGCAAGCUCCUGGCCAUUUCCUGACACUCAUGAGACGAAAGCGUGGGGAUCAAAAAGGAUUAGAUACCCUUGUAGUCCACGCCCUAAACGAUGCACGCUCGCUGUUCGGAGUAUCGACCCUCCGAGUGGCUUAGCUUACGCGUUAAGCGUGCCGCCUGGGAAGUACGAGCGCAAGCUUAAAACUCAAAGGAAUAGACGGGGAUUCGCACAAGCGGUGGAUCAUGUGGUUCAAUUCGACGACAACCGAGGAACCUCACCAGGGCUUGAAAUGCUGUCGACGAUUUUCUGAAAGGAAAAUCUUCUCACAAGGACGGCAGCACAGGUGCUGCACGGCCCUCGUCAGUUCGUGGCGUGAGUUGUUCCCUUAAGUGGGGUAACGAACGCAACCCCUGUUGCCUGUUAUAUGUGUCAGGCGAGACCGCCCCCCUCUUUGCUCGCGAAGCGAGCAAAGAGAAAUAUCAAUAUAUCGAUAUCUGACUCUUUGCGUUUACGCGCAAAGAGGGGGGAGGAAGGAGGGGAUGACGCGAGGUCAGCGUGGCCCUUUGAUGCCCUGGGCUACACACGUGAUACAAUGGCGCGUACAAUGGGUCGCCAAGGCGCGAGCCGGAGCUAAUCCCAUCAAAGCGCGCCCCAGUUCAGAUUGGAGUCUGCAACUCGACUCCAUGAAGUUGGAAUCGCUAGUAAGCGCAUAUCAGCUAUGGUGCGCUGAAUACGUUCUCGAAUCUUGUACUCACCGCCCGUCACGUCAAAAAAGCCGGAAACAGGUAAAGUUCGUCCUUGCGGCGGAUCAACCUGGGUUCGGUGAUUGGGACGAAGUCGUAACAAGGCAUGGGUAGCGGAAGCUGUUCAUGGAACAUUUCUUUU
rfam:Candidatus Sungbacteria bacterium RIFCSPLOWO2_01_FTLL_54_21 rifcsplowo2_01_scaffold_56048, whole genome shotgun sequence.